CUAGUCAUUCCCUCACUCUAGUGACAGAGUGAGGGAGGGUGUGACUAGUGACAGAGUGAGGGAGAGGUGACUAGUGACAGAGUGAGGAAAGGAAGGGGUGACUAGUGACAGAGUGAGGGAGGUGGUGACUGUCACCAGUCACCACCUCCCUCACUCUGUCACUAGUCACCACCUCCCUCACUCUGUCACUAGUCACCCCCUCCGUCCCUUACUCUGUCACUAGUCACCCCCUAACUCACUAUGUCACCAGUCAUCCGCUCACUCUGUCACCAGUCAUCCCUUCCUUCCCUCACUCUGCCACUAGUCACGCCUUCCCUCACUCUGUCACUAGUCAUUCCCUCACUCUAGUGA